rnacentral:rRNA from 1 species
GAGUUUGAUCCUGGCUCAGAUUGAACGCUGGCGGCAGGCCUAACACAUGCAAGUCGAACGGUAACAGGAAGAAGCUUGCUUCUUUGCUGACGAGUGGCGGACGGGUGAGUAAUUUCUGGGAAACUGCCCGAUGGAGGGGGAUAACUACUGGAAACGGUAGCUAAUACCGCAUAACGUCGCAAGACCAAAGAGGGGGACCUUCGGGCCUCUUGCCAUCGGAUGUGCCCAGAUGGGAUUAGCUUGUUGGUGGGGUAACGGCUCACCAAGGCGACGAUCCCUAGCUGGUCUGAGAGGAUGACCAGCCACACUGGAACUGAGACACGGUCCAGACUCCUACGGGAGGCAGCAGUGGGGAAUAUUGCACAAUGGGCGCAAGCCUGAUGCAGCCAUGCCGCGUGUAUGAAGAAGGCCUUCGGGUUGUAAAGUACUUUCAGCGGGGAGGAAGGGAGUAAAGUUAAUACCUUUGCUCAUUGACGUUACCCGCAGAAGAA